rnacentral:rRNA from 1 species
GGGUUGUGAGGUUAAGCGACUAAGCGUACACGGUGGAUGCCCUGGCAGUCAGAGGCGAUGAAGGACGUGCUAAUCUGCGAAAAGCGUCGGUAAGGUGAUAUGAACCGUUAUAACCGGCGAUGUCCGAAUGGGGAAACCCAGUGCAAUUCGUUGCACUAUCGUUAACUGAAUACAUAGGUUAACGAGGCGAACCGGGGGAACUGAAACAUCUAAGUACCCCGAGGAAAAGAAAUCAACCGAGAUUCCCCCAGUAGCGGCGAGCGAACGGGGAGCAGCCCAGAGUCUGAAUCAGCUUGUGUGUUAGUGGAACGGUCUGGAAAGUCCGACGGUACAGGGUGAUAGUCCCGUACACCAAAAUGCACAGGCUGUGAACUCGAAGAGUAGGGCGGGACACGUGGUAUCCUGUCUGAAUAUGGGGGGACCAUCCUCCAAGGCUAAAUACUCCUGACUGACCGAUAGUGAACCAGUACCGUGAGGGAAAGGCGAAAAGAACCCCGGCGAGGGGAGUGAAAAAGAACCUGAAACCGUGUACGUACAAGCAGUGGGAGCACCUUCGGGUGUGACUGCGUACCUUUUGUAUAAUGGGUCAGCGACUUAUAUUCUGUAGCAAGGUUAACCGUAUAGGGGAGCCGCAGGGAAACCGAGUCUUAACUGGGCGUUAAGUUGCAGGGUAUAGACCCGAAACCCGGUGAUCUAGCCAUGGGCAGGUUGAAGGUUGGGUAACACUAACUGGAGGACCGAACCGACUAAUGUUGAAAAAUUAGCGGAUGACUUGUGGCUGGGGGUGAAAGGCCAAUCAAACCGGGAGAUAGCUGGUUCUCCCCGAAAGCUAUUUAGGUAGCGCCUCGUGAAUUCAUCUUCGGGGGUAGAGCACUGUUUCGGCUAGGGGGUCAUCCCGACUUACCAACCCGAUGCAAACUACGAAUACCGAAGAAUGUUAUCACGGGAGACACACGGCGGGUGCUAACGUCCGUCGUGAAGAGGGAAACAACCCAGACCGCCAGCUAAGGUCCCAAAGUCAUGGUUAAGUGGGAAACGAUGUGGGAAGGCACAGACAGCCAGGAUGUUGGCUUAGAAGCAGCCAUCAUUUAAAGAAAGCGUAAUAGCUCACUGGUCGAGUCGGCCUGCGCGGAAGAUGUAACGGGGCUAAACCAUGCACCGAAGCUGCGGCAGCGACACUAUGUGUUGUUGGGUAGGGGAGCGUUCUGUAAGCCUGCGAAGGUGUGCUGUGAGGCAUGCUGGAGGUAUCAGAAGUGCGAAUGCUGACAUAAGUAACGAUAAAGCGGGUGAAAAGCCCGCUCGCCGGAAGACCAAGGGUUCCUGUCCAACGUUAAUCGGGGCAGGGUGAGUCGACCCCUAAGGCGAGGCCGAAAGGCGUAGUCGAUGGGAAACAGGUUAAUAUUCCUGUACUUGGUGUUACUGCGAAGGGGGGACGGAGAAGGCUAUGUUAGCCGGGCGACGGUUGUCCCGGUUUAAGCAUGUAGGCUGAUUGUCCAGGCAAAUCCGGAUAAUCAAGGCUGAGGUGUGAUGACGAGGCACUACGGUGCUGAAGUAACAAAUGCCCUGCUUCCAGGAAAAGCCUCUAAGCAUCAGGUAACAUCAAAUCGUACCCCAAACCGACACAGGUGGUCAGGUAGAGAAUACCAAGGCGCUUGAGAGAACUCGGGUGAAGGAACUAGGCAAAAUGGUGCCGUAACUUCGGGAGAAGGCACGCUGGUGUGUAGGUGAAGUCCCUGCGGAUGGAGCUGAGACCAGUCGAAGAUACCAGCUGGCUGCAACUGUUUAUUAAAAACACAGCACUGUGCAAACACGAAAGUGGACGUAUACGGUGUGACGCCUGCCCGGUGCCGGAAGGUUAAUUGAUGGGGUUAUCCGUAAGGAGAAGCUCUUGAUCGAAGCCCCGGUAAACGGCGGCCGUAACUAUAACGGUCCUAAGGUAGCGAAAUUCCUUGUCGGGUAAGUUCCGACCUGCACGAAUGGCGUAAUGAUGGCCAGGCUGUCUCCACCCGAGACUCAGUGAAAUUGAACUCGCUGUGAAGAUGCAGUGUACCCGCGGCAAGACGGAAAGACCCCGUGAACCUUUACUAUAGCUUGACACUGAACAUUGAGCCUUGAUGUGUAGGAUAGGUGGGAGGCUUUGAAGCGUGGACGCCAGUCUGCGUGGAGCCAACCUUGAAAUACCACCCUUUAAUGUUUGAUGUUCUAACGUUGGCCCCUGACCGGGGUUGCGGACAGUGUCUGGUGGGUAGUUUGACUGGGGCGGUCUCCUCCCAAAGCGUAACGGAGGAGCACGAAGGUUAGCUAAUCCUGGUCGGACAUCAGGAGGUUAGUGCAAUGGCAUAAGCUAGCUUGACUGCGAGCGUGACGGCGCGAGCAGGUGCGAAAGCAGGUCAUAGUGAUCCGGUGGUUCUGAAUGGAAGGGCCAUCGCUCAACGGAUAAAAGGUACUCCGGGGAUAACAGGCUGAUACCGCCCAAGAGUUCAUAUCGACGGCGGUGUUUGGCACCUCGAUGUCGGCUCAUCACAUCCUGGGGCUGAAGUAGGUCCCAAGGGUAUGGCUGUUCGCCAUUUAAAGUGGUACGCGAGCUGGGUUUAGAACGUCGUGAGACAGUUCGGUCCCUAUCUGCCGUGGGCGCUGGAGAAUUGAGGGGGGCUGCUCCUAGUACGAGAGGACCGGAGUGGACGCAUCACUGGUGUUCGGGUUGUCAUGCCAAUGGCACUGCCCGGUAGCUAAAUGCGGAAGAGAUAAGUGCUGAAAGCAUCUAAGCACGAAACUUGCCCCGAGAUGAGUUCUCCCUGAGACUUUAAGUCUCCUGAAGGAACGUUGAAGACGACGACGUUGAUAGGCCGGGUGUGUAAGCGCAGCGAUGCGUUGAGCUAACCGGUACUAAUGAACCGUGAGGCUUAACCUUACAACGCCGAAG